rnacentral:lncRNA from 1 species
UCGAAAAGUCUUGGUGGGUUGUACAGAACAGCUACGUGCAAGCGCUCAGGAUAGUGAUUUUGCAGAAUGUUGGCUGUUUCGCGAGCCAGGCCGAUGGGGGUGGACUUCUUCAUGGACCAGCCUUUAAAGUCGAUCAACCAGAUCAUCUGCUCUUGACCCUCGGGAAGGUUCAAGACUGCAUUCUCCAAGAAGUAGACCAACUGCUUAAUUUGCAUUUCAGGAUUACUCGUAUUCUGGGACAUGCCAGAAAUCUUGCUCGGUUAUUUGGAGAGAAUGCACAAAACACCACAAGAGAAAUUCAAAUGAUUCAACCGAUAACAAAAAAACGAGAUAUCAAACAUCACCACGAUGGACCAUGACAAAACCCCUGAGAAACGAAUAAAAUGAUGGUUUGAAACGGACGAGCACCUGACGACCAGGGUGCAUUACAAGGACAGUGUGCCCAUUCUUGUCUUUGAUGCUGGCCCGGUAUAUUUUCCCAGUUUCGGAUUCUCCAGCGAUAUCACUCUGUGUAGCACAGGAAAAAAAUUAGAAUAUCCAGUCUUACAUACCGGGACAGGUCCCGAUUAAUAAAUAACCGCAGCGCUUAUUAACUGUUGGACUUGAAUCAACGGUAGAACAAGUCCAUGUUCAGUGUUAUCCCGUAAAUAGAUAAAUAGAAGCGCACCCAGCGGAUGUCUUCGGGCUUAUAGCUCUCUCUCCAUGCCAAGGUGUCCUUCAACAUUUUCUCAGCCUUCUUGAUGUUCCAGUUACGCGCCCUCAAGUAGCGCCUGAGGCAAGCAUCAUCGGCGAACUGAUCUAAACGGCCAG